AAAAAAACAAACCCUAGAUUUCUGUGUCCAACGUUUGACCGUCCGUCUUAUUUAAAAAAUAUAUAAAAAAAAUUAAAAAGACAAGUCACGCAUAAAGUAUUAAUCAUGUUUUAUUAUCUAAUAAUAAUUAAAAUACUAAUUAUAAAAAAAUCUCAUAUAAGACAGACAGUCAAACGUUAGACACGAAAAUCAACAGUUUAUCUUUUU
rfam:Oryza glumipatula chromosome 6, whole genome shotgun sequence.